AGAGUGAACGCUGGCGGUAGGCCUAACACAUGCAAGUCGAACGGCAGCACAGUAGGAGCUUGCUCUUACGGGUGGCGAGUGGCGGACGGGUGGGGAAUACAUCGGAAUCUACCUUUUGGUGGGGGAUAACGUAGGGAAACUUACGCUAAUACCGCAUACGCCCUUCGGGGGAAAGCCGGGGACCAGCAAUGGCCUGGCGCUGAUAGAUGAGCCGAUGUCGGAUUAGCUAGUUGGUGAGGCAAUGGCUCACCAAGGCGACGAUCCGUAGCUGGUCUGAGAGGAUGAUCAGCCACACUGAACU
rnacentral:rRNA from 1 species